rnacentral:ncRNA from 1 species
CAGGUACCGGUUCACGCCCCCGGGAAAUCCAUCCAGUCGGCGACCCGGCGACA